GAGUUGGAGUUUGUUGGUUGUGCUGUGAGGAAGAGUCAGAGCUGCAAGGAGCUACCCAUGAGAAAUCACAGAGAAGCCCCUGGAGUAUUCUCGCAGUAUAAGGAGCUGGAAUUUCAAACCAUGGCAUUUUAUGCAUACCAUCUUCUCUGUGGGGACUGAACUUCAAGACACACAGAAAAUUCUUACAGCUUCCAGAAUCUACUGGAUCUCAGCAGAGUAUCCCAGCUCCUAGCCAUUUACAGAGGAGUGGUGUUUCUGCAGUUCAAUGCAGCAAUCAGGCAUCAAUUAUGUAAAAACAAAAUCAUAAGAACACCACCACUGGAUAAAUCUGUGCUGACAAGCCUACGCAGUUCUGGUCUCCACCUGAGGAGGGAGAGAGAACUCUGGAAGGUUCCCAAAGAGCCACAUGGAUGGUGAAAGGUUGCUGGGUGGAACAAGAGGUACAACUGGGAGCCUUGUAAAAUUGUCAGUCAAGGUGAGGGGAUAAACAAGGAGUGUUUGCUCACAGUCUUUUCCAGUCUAAGGUGCGAAGGUGAGCAGCAGAUAUCCAGCUCUCAACAACAAUAACAACAACAAUAAGGUGUUUCUUGCACAUAGCCUGUAAUUAGGCUGUGGGAUUUCUUCCUGCAUUGUGCCGCAGGUGGUGAAAGUUUAUAGGACUCAGAGGGAGCCUGCACAGGCUCAUGGAAAAAAAAUUACCAAGAUUAAACAUUCAGCAGUCAUGUCUGGCUGAGAAAAUGCCUGAGGAGGCCGUGAGAACAUCAGUGGGAAAUACCAUCAUAUGCUUGUUCUGGAGAUUUUUGUAAUCUUCUCAAGAGUCUGCUUUUGAUCACUGUGGGAGGCAGGACUCUGAGCUGAUGGACCUUUGCUCUGACCCAGUAUGAUCAUGCUUGUGCUAUCCAGUGGAGUUGCAUGUAAUUGUAGACUGAGGACUUUUCUGCAGAUUUGCAUGGAGAUAAAACU